GACGUAGGGCGCGAGCGUUGUCCGGAUUUAUUGGGCGUAAAGAGCUCGUAGGCGGUCUGUCACGUCGGCUGUGAAAUCCCGAGGCUCAACCUCGGGUCUGCAGUCGAUACGGGCAAACUAGAGUAUUGCAGGGGAGACUGGAAUUCCUGGUGUAGCGGUGAAAUGCGCAGAUAUCAGGAGGAACACCGGUGGCGAAGGCGGGUCUCUGGGCAGUAACUGACGCUGAGAAGCGAAAGCGUGGGGAGCGAACAGG
rnacentral:rRNA from 1 species